rnacentral:rRNA from 1 species
CUUAGCCNUAAACCUCAAUAAUUAUAAAACAAAAUUAUUUGCCAGAGAACUACUAGCCACAGCUUAAAACUCAAAGGACUUGGCGGUACUUUAUAUCCACCUAGAGGAGCCUGUUCUAUAAUCGAUAAACCCCGCUAUACCUUACCUCCCCUUGCUAAUUCAGCCUAUAUACCGCCAUCUUCAGCAAACCKUAAAAAAGAAUAACAGUAAGCAAGAGUAUACGCAUAAAAACGUUAGGUCAAGGUGUAGCCUAUGGGGUGGAAAGAAAUGGGCUACAUUUUCUUACCAAGAACACACGAAACCCUUUAUGAAACUAAAGGACAAAGGAGGAUUUAGUAGUAAAUUAAGAAUAGAGAGCCUAAUUGAAUUGAGCAAUGAAGUA